rnacentral:rRNA from 1 species
AGAGUUUGAUUCUGGCUCAGAACGAACGCUGGCAGCGUGGAUUAGGCAUGCAAGUCGAACGGGAAGCCGUUGAUCAAUUCUUCGGAAGAGUGAUUCGGUGGAGAGUGGCGGAAGGGUGAGUAACGCGUGGGCAAUCUACCUCCAAGUUGGGAUAAUUCCGCGAAAGCGGGACUAAUACCGAAUGUGGUCGUAUGUCGCAUGGCAGACUGACUAAAGGUGGGGAUCCUUCGGGACCUGCCGCUGGGAGAGGAGCCCGCGUGCCAUCAGCUUGUUGGUGAGGUAACGGCCCACCAAGGCUUACGGCUAGCUGGUCUGAGAGGAUGAUCAGCCACACUGGGACUGAGACACUGCCCAGACUCCUACGGGAGGCUGCAGUCGAGGAUCAUUGUCAAUGCGCGGAAGCGUGAACAUGCGACGCUGCGUGGAGGAUGACGGCUUUCGGGUUGUAAACUCCUGUCAUGAGGGAAAAACGAUCCUGCAAUCAAUAUCUGCGGGAAGUGAUGGUACCUCAAGAGGAAGCCACGGCUAACUCUGUGCCAGCAGCCGCGGUAAUACAGAGGUGGCGAGCGUUGUUCGGAUUUACUGGGCGUAAAGGGUGCGUAGGCGGCUUCGUGUGUCGGAUGUGAAAUCCCACGGCCCAACCGUGGAACUGUGUUCGAAACUGCGGAGAUAGAGUGCAGGAGAGGAGAGCGGAAUUCUUGGUGUAGCGGUGAAAUGCGUUGAUAUCAAGAAGAACACCGGUGGCGAAAGCGGCUCUCUGGAAUGUUACUGACGCUGAGGCACGAAAGCUGGGGGAGCGAACAGGAUUAGAUACCCUGGUAGUCCCAGCUGUAAACGGUGUGCACUUGGUGUGGGAGGUAUUGACCCCUUCCGUGCCGGAGCUAACGCGUUAAGUGCACCGCCUGGGGAGUACGGCCGCAAGGCUAAAACUCAAAGAAAUUGACGGGGGCCCGCACAAGCGGAGGAGCAUGUGGCUUAAUUCGAUGCAACGCGAAGAACCUUACCAGGGCUUGACAUCUACCUGCAUGCCCCCUGAAAGGGGGGAGGCCUUCGAGGGUGGUAGACAGGUGCUGCAUGGCUGUCGUCAGUUCGUGCCGUGAGGUGUUGGGUUAAGUCCCGCAACGAACGCAACCCUUGUGGUUAGUUGCAACUGCAGGUGAUAAGCCUGCGGGCACUCUAGCCAGACUGCCUGUACAAGCAGGAGGAAGGUGGGGAUGACGUCAAGUCAGUAUGGCCCUUACGCCCUGGGCUGCACACGUGCUACAAUGGUCGGUACAGAAGGAUGCAAUACCGCGAGGUGGAGCUAAUCCCCAAAACCGGCCCCAGUUCGGAUUGGAGUCUGAAACUCGACUCCAUGAAGCCGGAUUCGCUAGUAACGGCGUAUCAGCUACGGCGCCGUGAAUACGUUCCCGGGCCUUGUACACACCGCCCGUCACAUCAUGAAAGCCGUCUGCACCCGAAGUCGCUGAGCCAAUCCCGCCCUCGGGCGGGAAGGCAGGCGCCGAAGGUGUGGGUGGUGAUUGGGAU